GAGGUACUGGAUAAAUCUGUGUAGUACUUCAAGUAUAAUUAAGGGAAAAAAUAUACUGUAUAUGGAAGAGGCCCUACUUUAGGUGUGGUUUAAUAGAGUGGAUUUGAAUUGUUCAUGUUAACACGUAGGCAGGCUAACCUGUAGUGUACUUAGACACCCUUUAUGCAUAUGGUUUUGAGCCUAAGGCAUUGACCUUUAGCUUUGGUCUUCAGCAGGCUGGAACGAGCAUAUGCAAAACAACAUUUGAAUAAAACUGCACUCAGGUUUGUGUCACCGACGACUCCACAGUCUGCACGGCUGGAGUCGGGUUUAUCAUUCCGAAGAAUUCUGCUUUACAAUCCCAGAUUUACGAAAAGCUACUCAAAACACCUCUUCACACAGUGGCGUGCUAUUCAAGUAGCUGGCCUAGACACUUUGAAGGAGCUGUUAGAGAUUACAUCACCCAAGCCUGGAGCUUUUAUACUAAUAAAUAAAUGGGUUGAGACACUCUAAUAGACCAUUUCCUUUCCAGAGCUAUCCUCUUGCCUGUAAGGCAUGCUUUCGACAAAACCGCGUGUGUGUGUUUGUGAGAGCGCACGUGCGUGUGUGCUGGUAACACUUUGCUUUUAGCUGAAAAUAUGACAGACCUGAAACACCACAGAAUGGGCAGCUUUUUUUUUUUUUUUUUCCCUCCUCAAAACACAAAAUGCUGAACAUUGAAGUUUCGAGGUUAAAUAGAUGGGGGUUUUGUUUUCAUGUUAAUCUGCCUCUUUGUUGCUGCCGCAGUUCUUUGCACUUCUUUUCUUUCUCACACUUGUUCAUGUUGGUCAUUAAAGGCAAACAAUAGGCUGCCUGGCUCCCUCGCUCUUCGAUGAGAGCAAAAUAUCACUUCACAAAUAAACCGUCGUGCCCUGCCGCUGCCCUAUCGUCUUUCUGUCUGCCCUCAUCAUUGCCUCUCUCAAGCCCUGUUCCCAUACAAACAGUAAUAAAUGUUCUUGUCAAUUUUCCUCUCCUGUGAAAGAGAAGAUCCAGUCUCAGUUUUUGAAGCAGGAUGCCGAGCUGGGGAUGUUUAGCAAAUAAGAAGCGGCCACUUGUGUAACUUGAUAUUUCAAUUAGUAUUUUGACAAUUAAUUAACCAAAUACAUCUAUUUGGUGUCUUUCUUGCUACAAGAUUACAGUGAUCUGAUUUUUGAAUAAAAUCUUUUUUUUUUUGCCCUUUCUGAACUUCUGAAGUCCUGGAUUCGGUUAUAAAGUCAAAAUUUUGAAGUGACCAUUCCAGAUAGGAACGUUUUCCGUUUUGGAAAACCACAGCAAAGUUUCUCCUGUUUCAUGCCUUCCUAAAUGACACACAGCUUUUUUUAUUACCAUUUCUACUCUUUCCAAGAUUUUUUUUUUUUUUUUUUUUUAACUAACAAACUUAGCUGCCCUCCCCCUCCACUUCUGUGUUUUUCUUCUCCACUCCUUUUCCCACUCCCCUCCUCCAGUGAACCAGAAUGUCAUUUCAAGCAUGUCUAACCACGGGAAGCCUUUUAAAAAACUGUGACAGCAUUUGCCCCCAAUCCCCAAUAGCUGUGAAGCCCUGUGUGUGUAAGCAAGUAAUGAAUGUCUGUGGUGAUUUGCCUGAGAACAGAAUAUCAUAUGCAGAUUGAGGUAUGAUCCCUUUAAAAGCUGUUACUUUAAAGGUACUGUAGACCAGUGCUCCAUGACACACACACACA
ensembl:lncRNA